AGUACCUACAAUAAAAUAUCUGUAGCAAAGUGAAUGCUUUGUGCUAAUAUUUGCACAGCUCCACAAUAUUGCAGUAAACACACUGAGCGGUAUAUAGACUGCAGGGAUUGCUCAGCAACUCAGUAGCACCAGCGACAUCAUGAGAACUCUCUGGCUGAUCAUCCUUGUAUUGGCGUGUGUGUGGCAGUGUGCGCUUGCGCAGGGCAGCAUAGACAAGUGCGGCCUCACGCAGGAGAUGUACAAGAAUCUCAAGAGUUAUGUAUUAAGCAAGUUUCCACUCUUAAUCGCUACAGACAUAUUGGAUAAAGUAUUUGCUACUUAAGUCAAAGGUUUUAUGCAAUCUUGUUCGCACUAUGUAUUUCCAUAUUGAUUACCUUACUGUAAUAAAUGUAUGAAUUGUAAUAAAGUAUGCGUUUGAGAUAACAA